rnacentral:rRNA from 1 species
UACGGAGGGAGCUAGCGUUGUUCGGAAUUACUGGGCGUAAAGCGCGCGUAGGCGGCUUUGUAAGUUAGAGGUGAAAGCCUGGAGCUCAACUUCAGAAUUGCCUUUAAGACUGCAUCGCUUGAAUCCGGGAGAGGUGAGUGGAAUUCCGAGUGUAGAGGUGAAAUUCGUAGAUAUUCGGAAGAACACCAGUGGCGAAGGCGGCUCACUGGACCGGCAUUGACGCUGAGGUGCGACAGCGUGGGGAGCAAACAGG